rnacentral:rRNA from 1 species
AACGAACGCUGGCGGCGUGCCUAACACAUGCAAGUCGUGCGAGAAAGUUCCUUCGGGAGCGAGUAAAGCGGCGCACGGGUGAGUAACACGUAGGUAACCUGCCCCCCAGUCUGGAACAACUAGAGGAAACUCUAGCUAAUGCCGGAUGAGACCACGAUCCCUUCGGGGGUUGCGGCCAAAGAUGGCCUCUACUUGUAAGCUAUCGCUGAGGGAUGGGCCUGCGGGCCAUUAGCUUGUUGGUGAGGUAACGGCUCACCAAGGGCCUGUGAUGGCUAGCUGGUCUGAGAGGAUGACCAGCCACACGUGGGACUGAGACACGGCCCAGACCUCCGUAGGGAGGCAGCAGGUGGGAAUAUUGCG